UGGGGAAUUUUGGACAAUGGGGGAAACCCUGAUCCAGCCAUCCCGCGUGUGCGAUGAAGGCCUUCGGGUUGUAAAGCACUUUUGGCAGGAAAGAAACGUCAUGGGUUAAUACCCCGUGAAACUGACGGUACCUGCAGAAUAAGCACCGGCUAACUACGUGCCAGCAGCCGCGGUAAUACGUAGGGUGCAAGCGUUAAUCGGCAUUACUGGGCGUAAAGCGUGCGCAGGCGGUUCGGAAAGAAAGAUGUGAAAUCCCAGAGCUCAACUUUGGAACUGCAUUUUUAGCUACCGGGCUAGAGUGUGUCAGAGGGAGGUGGAAUUCCGCGUGUAGCAGUGAAAUGCGAAGAUAUGCGGAGGAACACCGAUGGCGAAGGCAGCCUCCUGGGAUAACACUGACGCUCAUGCACGAAAGCGUGGGGAGCAAACAGG
rnacentral:rRNA from 1 species